AGGAUUUAGAGUGAUUAUGCAUAGUUCUUUUUUAGGUCCAUAAUGUCAUGAAUACACUUGAUAAAUGUAGCUUGACUACUGAUCUGUUCAGGGUUAGAUUAAUUUAAUCAUCACAUUCUCUUGCGAUAGAGAGGCUUUGUAUAUGGUGCAGAAGAGACUUACCAGAAUGCUGCAUGGAUCAGGGG